AUGAACGUUCAACGUGUGAACGUAAUGAUCAAAUAAUAUCCGGAGUAUGAGCUCCCCUUGAAAUGGAUAGAUCAAUGAAUCGUCCAAAAGAAACGUCAGAUGAUAUCUGGUUGUUUUGAGGUGUUGGCGAUGUGUAGCUCUACACGAAUGCUAUCGAUCGGCCUAGAAUUGACUUAUUAAUGGCUCAGAUUAUUUGUGACUCAAAUAUUGUACAACAAAAAAGGCAUAUAAAUCAUUAAAGGUAUAGUGACAGCGAUUCAUCUGGACUUUCUUGUUUAUAUUGGCGUUGGUUUCGUAAAAUAAGGAAGGAACGAAUGUCAACGAUCCGGACAGUACCAUAGCAGCUAACAGCUGAAAAGUUUGGCAUUUUGGAUUCACUGUCUUUUAAAGUUAAGCUUCAAACUGAGCUCCAGAUAUGUGGGUAAGUAAUAUCGUUUUAUUUUACGCUACAGCCGUUGUCGAUCCUAGGCCAGCCAUUGUCUAACGGUUGGUAAUUUGAAACUUGAGUUACCAGUACGGAGGGAGGCAUGCGGAGUCCAGUCGAGGUUUGAACCUAAUCCCGCAACGCAUAGUUGUAUAUGAUUGAAUUUAAUAAAAGAACACUUUAA